UUCAAUGGCAUCCUCCUCUCCUCAAGUGACCGACUCUGACGCCGAGAAGAGUUCCUCUGCAACGCCAUCGAAGAGCUUCAGCGUCGUGCUGCUGCUCACGUCCACCACCACCACCUCGACUCCCUUCCCUGCAAUCACGGCCCUGACAAGUCCGGCGUCGCCCAUGCCAUUGGUUUAUUAUUUCGCUGAAUUCGUUCAUUCUUUCGCUGAAUUGUCUCUCUCCUUUCCCGAAUUCAUUCUUGUUUGUGAAAUCAUUUGCUCAUCCAAACCUGGGGUCUGUCUCUACCUUCUUUCUUCUUGGGCUUCUUCAUACUCAUAAGGACUAGCAUAUGUGGACUUUUUGGAUAAUGAGAGAACCUUCCUGCAGCAGUAGCUAAGAACAUGCACUGGUUACUUGGGAAGAAGUUGAGCAUUGCACGGUCUGAACCAAAGCAAGGUGGGAAGGAAUCUUCUAAUCUAAAAACCUUGAAAGAACAUGUAGGACCUCAAGUAUUGAGCACAAGGUUUAACAGAUUCAACAAAUUCAGUUCAUAAUCAGCUGGUGGUGGGCAGAGAUCAAAAGGAAGGUGGUUGUGAAGGGAGUAAAGUGGAAGAAACCAUAGCUGCAUGCAAGGUCGAAGUUUUUGUGAGCAAAGCCAAGCAUUAUGAAUAAUGGGACAGCACCACACCAUUCUCUAGUAGGACAGCAACUCCAACAUAUGGCAUAGCUCAAGUUCAUCUGCUACAUAGACACCCUGCUGGUCACAAUGAUAGCUUACAAAAUUCUCCAAGAUCAUUAAACUAUGAAAAUGAACAAUGGGAUGUUGAAGGUUCACCCCUAGCAACCAUAAAGGAACAGAUGAGACCCAUAUGAAAGUUUUGGAGCCAAGUUCAGCAACAGAAUUGCCUAUUAGCUCUCAAUAUGAAAUCAGCAUUAGUUUAUUAGAAUUUUCUUUUGAGUAGAGACUUGAUGUGUGGUUAAUGUUGCUACCAAGUUGAAAUGAGAUCUUAUAAAGCUUUAUGUAAAAUCUCAGCUGUUGAGUUUGCUUUUUCUUUUAUGUAAAAGACAUCUU